UUCCGGUUGAUCCUGCCGGACCUGACUGCUAUCGGAUUGAUACUAAGCCAUGCGAGUCAUUGUAGCAAUACAAGGCAGACGGCUCAGUAACGCGUAGUCAACCUAACCUAUGGACGGGAAUAACCUCGGGAAACUGAGAAUAAUGCCCGAUAGAACACUAUACCUGGAAUGGUUUGUGUUCCAAAUGAUUUAUCGCCGUAGGAUGGGACUGCGGCCUAUCAGUUUGUUGGUGAGGUAAUGGCCCACCAAGACUAUUACAGGUACGGGCUCUGAGAGGAGUAGCCCGGAGAUGGGUACUGAGACACGGACCCAGGCCCUAUGGGGCGCAGCAGGCGAGAAAACUUUGCAAUGUGCGAAAGCACGACAAGGUUAAUCCGAGUGGUUUGUGCUAAACGAACCUUUUGUCGGUCCUAGAAACACCGAUGAAUAAGGGGUGGGCAAGUUCUGGUGUCAGCCGCCGCGGUAAUACCAGCUCUCCGAGUGGUGUGGAUGUUUAUUGGGCCUAAAGCAUCCGUAGCCGGCUUUGUAAGUCUCCUGUUAAAUUCAGCGACCUAAUCGUUGAGCCGCGGGAGAUACUACUAAGCUAGGAGGCGGGAGAGGCCGACGGUACUUCCGGGGUAGGGGUGAAAUCCUAUAAUCCCGGGCGGACCACCAGUGGCGAAGGCUGUCGGCUAGAACGCGCCCGACGGUGAGGGAUGAAAGCUGGGGGAGCGAACCGGAUUAGAUACCCGGGUAGUCCCAGCUGUAAACGAUGCAGGCUAGGUGUUUGGGCGGCCACGAGCCGCUCUAGUGCCGCAGGGAAGCUGUUAAGCCUGCCGCCUGGGGAGUACGGCCGCAAGGCUGAAACUUAAAGGAAUUGGCGGGGGAGCACCACAAGGGGUGAAGCUUGCGGUUCAAUUGGAUUCAACGCCGGA
rnacentral:rRNA from 1 species